rnacentral:rRNA from 1 species
AGUGGUGACAAUGGCUAAGUGGAUACACCUCUUCCCUUCCCGAACAGAGCAGUUAAGCACUUACACGCCGACGAUAGUUCUCGCGAAAAUAGGUAGUUGCCUCUU